rnacentral:rRNA from 1 species
UUUUAUGGAGAGUUUGAUCCUGGCUCAGGAUGAACGCUGGCGGCGUGCCUAAUACAUGCAAGUCGAGCGAACGGACGAGAAGCUUGCUUCUCUGAUGUUAGCGGCGGAC